rnacentral:rRNA from 1 species
UUGAAAGGGAAACGAUUGAAGUCAGUCGUACCAGCGGGAAUCAACCUUUCGAGUGGGGGUUUUGGAGUUUUGAAGAGUGUCAAAACCUUUGAGAUUUCAAAAAUUUCGCUCUUUUGGUGUACUUUCUCGUGGGUAGGUUAACAUCGAUUUUGAUCAUCAUAAAAAGAUUGGAGGAAUGUAGCUUCGAUCUUGUAUUGAAGUGUUAUAGCCUUUGGUAAAUGUGAUGAUUAGGAUCGAGGAUUGCAACGAAUACCCUUUUGGGCUAUCCGCCUGAUCUCUGAUACGUGGCCUUGGUAUCGAAAGCUUGCUUAUGGUAUUGAGGUAUUACGGUCAAAAGGUUAGAACGGAUUACAUUCGUUAAGGAUGUUGACGUA